rnacentral:rRNA from 1 species
AGCGAACGUUUGCGGCGGGCCUAACACAUGCAAGUCGAACGCACUAGCAAUAGUGAGUGGCGCACGGGUGCGUAACACGUGGGUAAUCAACCCUUCAGCUUGGGAUAACGACUUGAAAGGGUCGCUAAUACCGGAUACGGCGAGAGAGGCUUCGGCAUUUCUCGAGAAAGCCUCGCAAGGGGCACUGAAGGACGAGCCUGCGGCCCAUCAGCUAGUUGGUGAGGUAAGAGCUCACCAAGGCGAAGACGGGUAGCUGGUCUGAGAGGAUGAUCAGCCACACUGGAACUGAGACACGGUCCAGACUCCUACGGGAGGCAGCAGUGGGGAAUAUUGCGCAAUGGGCGAAAGCCUGACGCAGCCACGCCGCGUGAGCGAUGAAGGCCUUCGGGUCCGUAAAGGCUCUGUGGGGAGAGACGAAGAAAGCCCGUGAAGGAAGCGGGCCGUUGACGGUAGUCUCCUUAGCAAGCACCGGCUAACUCCGU